rnacentral:lncRNA from 1 species
CCAACCUUUAUCUAGUUCCAUUCAACAGUAUCCCCUCAGUCUACCUUCAUUAUGAUCCAUUGACUCAACAACAAUGAAUCAACCCUUUAGUACAUUCAAACACUUUGACCACGUGUGUGUUAGCUUUGUUGGCUUCCUCCUUAAUGAAUUUCAUUGAACCAUCAUUCAACAGCUGCCCCGAUUGUGACACUGAACUCCAUUUAGAAUGUCUGAUCUUAAACAGUGUCCCUAACCUAAAAUAGGUUGCUCUAACUACAGAGAUUAUUGGUAGGUUUCAUAUGCCUUUGAAGACAAGGUUCAUUGAUUCCACGAGAUUUAUUGUCAUGUGGCUCCAUCGUUGACCAUUGUCAUAUGCUCUAUUCCACUUCUCCAAUGGAAUAUUGUCGAUCCACCUUACUGCAUAUGCAUUUGUCAAUCUGAUGUCUUCACGCUAGUGUUUGAAGGAAGGUUCUAUUAAUGCAUACCAUGCGUUCACAACCUUCUUCUGCAACUUCUUGUCUUUGAUCUCCCGCAUAAAAUUUUGAGCGAUGUGUCUAAUGCGGUAGACAUGCAUUGAAGGAGGAUCCUGCCAGCUGUUAUCAAGGUUUUUAUAGGCACUCUCAAUUAAUGGAUGUCUGUCUAAAAUCAAACAUAAGUUAGACUGAGGAGCAACAUGUAAUCAAAUAUUUUUUAAGAAAAAAACUCCAUCCACCAGCAGUGUCCCCUUCAACCAGAGCAAAAGAUAUUGUAAAAAUGUUGUUGUUGCCAUCUUGUGCCAUACAUAAUGGCACAUGCUUUAAAAGUACAACAUAUGCACCAUACCCAAUGGCAAAUACUUUGGAUAUCACAUGCAAAAAAGAAUCAUGUGAAUGUGUCAUUCACAUCUAUAAAUAUUGAUGUGUUUCUCAGCAUUUCCAUCAAACACACUCAAUCCAUCUACCUUGUAUGCAACAUACACUCAAUAUACCCACUUUGUCAGCAACAAAUACUCAAAAGCAUUCAAUAAAAAUGUCUCUACUAACCAUGGGUGAUGAACAUCGAGGAACUAUCGACAAUAUUACAGAGUUUGUAAGUUACUAUUUCUUAAUACUAUAGCUUAUUUAAUUUUCUUAAUAAUAUAGUUUAUUACUUUUUCUUACAUAUUUCCUUAAUAAUCUUUUGUUAGGAACCAAAGAAGUUUUGAUGCUGUGUACAUGAAUAUCUACCAUACAAUCCAUUGAUAGAACCAUACUUACGAGUAAGCGGUUUUGGUAAUGUACUUAAUAUAGUCUCAUACUCUAUUGAUUACAAAUUUAUUCUUGCUUUAGUAGAAAGAUGAAGACUCGAGACCCACACAUUUCACCUUUCAUUCGGUGAACGUACCGUCACACUAGAGGACAUCUACAUGUUGUUGGGUCUACAUAUCGAUGGUAAAAUUGUUAAUGGUAGAGUUAACCAAGAUAACUCUAUAUGCGAAUAAUUGUUGGGUGCCCCUUUGUGUGAAGACACAACUACAAGAUAAAUUUCGGGUCAACCUAGGGGUCAAUGUAUUAAUUUAAAAUAUCUUAAACAAUAUUAUUCAAGUAUAACAUUAAACGAAGAAUCGACUGAUUAUGAAAAGAUAAUUAAAGCUCGGUGUUAUAUUAUGAUUUUAUUUGGUAAUUUUUUAUUUCCUGGAAGUACUGAUAAUACGGCAAAUAUUAUGUAUUUGUCGUUGUUACGAAACAUAAAUAAAGUAGAAAUAUAUAGUUAGGGUUCCGUUUUUUUAUCCCAUCUAUAUAGUUCAUUGUGUAAAAAUGCAAAAAAGAAUACUUAUACGUUUUAUUCUUGCGUCUUUUUGCUACAAGCACGAGGUUGGUCAAUAAUUCCAUCACUUGCCCCGAUUAACGAGAAGUCAUUCGCAACAAAGUAAAUUUAUCUUAAAUCUUCAAAUUUGUUAAGCUUUAUACUACAACUAAAUAUAACUAAUAUAUUUUCAAUCUUUUCGUUUUAGGUGGUUAGCUCUGGGGAUGAACUACAAUAGGUGUCCCAAACACGCUAUAAUAGUCUAUCACAAUCUUUUAGAUCACCUUGGACCAGACGAUGUAUUACAACUAAACAACUCUAAAUUUGAUUUUAAAAAUUACCAAAUUACAAAUCUUCUAAUCAUGUAUUUUUCUCAUACAGUUUAUAAGGAGUCUGUAUCUGGGCCUUAACCAUCAGGUUAACCCUGAUGAUGCUGCAGUUUGGAUAACGAAAACAUUAAUCAUCAGGUUCACUACUGUGGAGAUGCACUAGAGUGACCAUGUGAAACUGCAGUUCGGCAUGCAACAACAGAUUCCAGAUCCUCCAACGUGUUUGGGAGAUUGACAUCAACAAAAAGUCAAUGUCCAAUAGGGUUAUUCCAAUUGGAGAGAAUUCGUUAAAGAGAUGUGUUGUCAUUGGAAGAAUCGACAUCGAUACAACUUAAAUGAACUGAUCAUAUAAGGUGCUAGACUAACUCAACAUCAUAUGGAUUGGUUUAGGUCAGUUACAAUGACAUUGUUUGUGCCCGAGUCGAGGUAUUUCAUUGAUCCACGCCAACAAGCUUCAUCGUCGUACACCAAAUAACAAACCCCCGCCCAAUAACUAACCCCGCACCAUUAUCAAAUCCAAAAACAAUGUCAACUCACCCAAACCCAACGACCAACCUCACAGCGCCACCAUACCAUAUACACUCUGUCAUACCCCAAUUUUGUCAGGGUAUUUUAAAUUCAUCGGAUACAUGUCCAUUUGUCAAGUUUUGUAUUUUUAGCCAUAUGCAUUUUUAUCAUCAAAUAAAGUCAUCAUAACCAUGCAUAUAUGCAUUAUAGUAAAAAAGUCAACAUAAAGUCAAUAUUUUACAAGUUAAAUAAAUUGACUAAAAUUGCAUUUUUCCAUUAUGCAUUUUAAAAAAUAAAUUCAUGAUCAUUUGAUUUACCAUCAAAAUAUCUAUUUGAAUUUUAUUAAUCAUUUUCAUGCAUCAUAAAACAAAAAUCAAUGUUUCUAGAAGGUCCAAAUCAUCUCUCAUUUAUUACAUCAUUAUUCCAUGUAUAUAUUACAUCAUUAUUCAAUGCAUAUAUUAUAUCAUUAUUCACUAUUUAAUUAAAUAAAUUUGUACAAGGCACUCACACUCUUUGCAUAAUUUCUAAAUUGUCCUUUCUAGAGCCUAUAAAUAAAUCAUAUUUCAUUCACAAAUUAAGCAAAACCUCUCUUCAUUUUUCUAAAGUAAUUUCUUUCUUUCUUUAUUGAAUUUUAUUUUUGGUAAGCUCUUAUGCUUGACAUUUAUUUAAUUCCAUUGCAUUUUUAUUCUUACUUCAUUUAUUUAGUACCUUAAUUAUCACCAUUUUGCAUGGAAACUCCAUUAAUUUAAAAUCAAGAGUUUAAAAUGUUUUUGAACCUCCAUGGACAAAAGUGAUUAAAUAUGAAUUAAUUUUUGUUUAUUUAAUUUUCUUUGUAUUAUUAUUAUUGCUUCACUUAAUUAGUACCUUAAUCAUCACAAUUUUGCAUAGAAACUCCACUGAUUCAAAAUUAAGAGUUUAAAGUGUUCUUGAAUUUUCAUAAACAAAAGUGAUUAACUUUGAUUUAAUUUUCGUUUAUUUAAUUUUCUUUGCAUUAUUAUUCCUGUUGCACUUAAUUAGUACAUUAAUCCCUACUAUUUUGUAUGGAAACUACAUUAAUUCAAAAUCAAGAGUUUAAAGUGUUCUUGAACAUCCAUGAACAAAAAUGAUCAAAUGCAAAUUUAUGUUUGUUUUACAUAAAUAAUAUAUCCAAUAACUUCUCAACAUCAUCCCGAACAUGAAUCCAUAGUUCGUUUGUCAUGAUGAUGGAUAAAAUUGUCAAAUCAAGCAAAUAUAUGCUGCUGGGUUUUUGUUAAUUUUUGAAUUUUUUGUUGUUUAUUUGCUGAUUUUUGAUACACCAUUGUGUUCGUGAAAUCGAGUAGCUAAAUUUACAUUAUUUAUUUGCUUAAAUCCAUGAAAAUAUAAGAAAGUUAUAAUGUUUUUACGUUUUGGUUGUAACAUUUUUUUUCUAUUUUUGUUGUUAUGAGAAUAAUAAUCAAAUGUGGGAUUGGUGAAUGUAACACCCCAAUUAAACUAAGCUAAUUAUUUAAUUUAAAUUAAUAUUUUAUUUAUUAAUUUAAUCGAAUAAUUGGGAGUUUGGAUUAUUAUUAUUAUUUUGAAAUAAUAAUUAUUGGGUUAUUAUAGAGCAUGACAGGAUAAUUUGAUGAUUUUUGUGAAAUGAUUGUGUGACACCCUUCGGGGCAUAAUUACUCUGAUUAAUAUGUUAAUAUUUUUAAUCAAAUAAUUUGGGGUAUUAAGAGGGGUGUUACAGUGAACACAAAACCUCUCCACAUCCCUUGAUUAUUCAACACACUUAUGUGGGGUUUCUCCUUUAAACCUAGAGCAUUUUUCUUACUAUACCCUCAAUUUUUAGUCUCUUUUUGUCUUUUGUGUUUUAUUUAUUUAUUAUUUUCUUAUUAUUGUUUUAUUUAUUUAUUUUUGUUCUUUCUUUUAUUUCCUUUAGUUUUUUUAGUUCUUUUACCUUUUGUAUUGAUAUUAUGAUUUCCCUUUUAUUAUUUCUUUUACUUUUUUUUAUUACUUUAUUUUUUAGUUUAUUUUAUUGUAUUUUUAGUUGAUGCAUAAUUGUUAAUCCAAAAAGACAAAAUGACCAUUAAAAUUAAACUUUCAAAAAUACUAAAAUAAAAGGUGUUUGAUCAACAUCAAGUACAUUUUUCAAAAGCAUACUAAGUCUUUUUCUUUAAUAAGCGCCUCAUAUCAUUUCAAACCAUUUCAUAAAUCAUUUUUACUAACGCGAUAAACACGCAAUCAACAUCAAGUUGCAUGUCCGCUUACUCUAAGCGAUUAAAUACUUUUCUUAAUUAAACUUCGAAUGAAAAAGGGAAUGGGAGACGUUCGCCUCACCACCCCUCGAAUGAUUGAACGAUUGACGCUUGUCAUAUUACUCGAAUUUCCGUCUUCCGAUUAAAACACUCUAAAUAAACUUGGAUAAAGGAAUAAGUGACACACACCUCAUUAUUCCUCGAAUAAGCAAGUGGGAGGUGCUCGCCUCACUACCGCGAAUAGUCGACUUCCACAAACAAUUUUCAAAUACCAAAUUGGACAAAAAAGGAACGGGGACACUCACCCUCACUAUUCCUUGAAUAAGUGAAUAAUUGACGCGCACCAUAUUGCUCAAACUUUCGUCAAUCCCCCUAAAAAACAUACAAACACAUUAACUUAAUUUCUCGCCUCUGUGGGAUCAACACCUUCUUUUUGAAAAGAACAUUGUUAAAUCAUUUCUAAUGCAUAUACAAACUAGCGCUUAAGUCUCCCUCUACGAGCAUGCAAGCCCAUGUUUAACCGUUAGAAUUCGAUCUAAGAACUUAUUCAUUAAAACAAACUUCAAACAAUCAAACCUAUCUUUUUCUCGCCCCCGUCCGAUAAAAAUCCUUUUCACAAAUGGACAUUGUUUAGUCCUUUCUAAUGCGUACACAAACUAGCGCUUAAGUCUCUCAUGCGCGAGCAUACAAUUAAAUAUUUAAACUGCUAGAAUGCGACCAAACGAGAUCCCUUCUACUGCAAAAGAAACAAACACUAAGUCCCCCCAUCCGUGAGCAAACAAGUUAAUGUUUAAACUGUUACAAUGCGACCUAAAUAUUUGUCCUCUAAAAUCAAUCAAUCAACACUCUUUUGCUACCCCGAACUACGAAGCUUUGAGUUCCUCAUUGUACUCGAGGAUACGUAGGAGCAAGACUCACAAUUUUGUCAAACAUUAUAAUAAAAAUAUUUUUGCGACCCCUUUUAUUUUACACUUUCAAUAACUCGAAGAAAAUAAUUAACAUAAGCCAACAUUCAAUCGCGAAUUUAACUAAAAGGUUCACGUUGAGUACAACAGACGUGAGUGGUGCUAAUACCUUCCCCUUGUGUAAUCUACUCCCGAAUUCGAAUUUGUUUGUGACAGUCAUUUUCCUUUUUUUAAGGUUUUAUCAAUAUUUUCCUAUUCCUUCAUUAAAAUAAAUAAAGUUCAGUGGUGACUCUGUUCGAAUCAUUUUUUCUGUGACUUCGCGAAGGAUCAUAUUUUUUGAGAUGCGACACACCCAACCUCCAAACACUCAACUUUGCAACCAAUAGAUGCCACACACCCAAACAAAAUACCAAGAGUAUGACCCAUGACACCAAUAACCACAUGCUCCCACCACAUAUUACUAUAGCCUCAAUGAUUCAUUUGAUUCCAUAAUAUCCCACCAUAGCCCCCCACCAAUGAACACCCAAACAUCCCACCACCAAAGCAUCCAACCACAAUAUGACUUUGUUACACCACAAGAAUCAUUGCUUCGUUUCUAAAACGAUUUAAUGUCAUGAUUCAACCAACCAUAUCGUCCACUCAUAACCCAACCACAACGACCCAACUACGACAACAUAACCACCAAACUAAAUUACGGCAGUACCGUUGACGGUAACCCUCAACUAUUGAGAAGAAAUGAUGACAAAUAUGUCAAAUACUCCAGGACCCUCACAUCAACCACCUUUUCCUCAACCAACAUUCAAAGACCCUAAACACCUCAAAGAAAUCGUGAGAGACCUCGAAGACAGACUAAUGCACCAGGAUGUGGAACCUGAGGAUGUUUCAAUCGGGCGAAUCAUUUUAUGUAUUUGAAUUUUAUAAGGUAAUAUCAUGGAUUAUUUUUAAUUUUCUUCUUUAUUUCAAAUUUUUUAAAUUAUAAUUAAAAAAAGUUAAAAAAUAAAUAAAGGAGUAACCACAUGCAAUGACACAUGCUCCUAAUGGAUGCAUGCAUGCGCCACUUAAAGUGAUAUGUUUUCAAUGCUGUCACCAUCAUCAUCGGUGCCUUAGUGUAUAAGAAUAAUCUAUCUGUCAUUUCUCCUGACUAUUUUUUUUGAAAAAUAGUUAUUUUGAUAAAUAAUUUAAAAAUAUAAUUGUUUUAGUGUUUAAUUUAAAAAUAGUAGUUAUUUUAAAAAAAAUUCAAAAAUUGAUGUAAAUACGUGUGAUUAAAUUUUAUUGACUGAACAUAAAAAAAAUCUAUUUAUUGAAUUUAGCGAAUGAAUAUAAAGUUUAAUUGAAAUACACUGACAGUGUAAAAUGAUUUUACAUCGUCAGUUAAUAAUAGAGGUUGAAUAUUAAAAUAAAUUUAAUUUUUAUUUUAAAAAUCUAUAAAGUAAUACAAACAAGAAAAAUGAUGAUGAUGAAUUGAUAGAGUAAAACUUUAUAACUUAAAGACAAUAGUAAUUACUCUCAUGAAUAUUUCGUCCCAUAUAAAAAACGAUGAUAUUUGUCAUUUUUGUUAUUUUUCCCUCAACUCACAAACCGUUAAAAAAAUAAUAAAAUAAUUGAAAAGAGAAAUAAUCAUGAUAUAUUUAUAAAUUCAUUAGUUAAUUUGUAGCAUUUCUGAAAUUAUUAGAUCGAAGAAGCUCCUUCCGACAAAGAAAGGUUCGCAUCAUAUUCACAAAUUUCUACUCUUUUUCUUUCUUUUCGUUUUUCUCUCAUCCAGAUCUAUAAAUUAUCAUGAAUUUGAGAAAUCAUCGUUAAUAAAAAUCCUGCUAGUGAUUUUUAUAAUUUCAUAGGUUAUUCUCUUGGAACCCUAAAUUCUGGGUUGUAUAUAGGUUAUGGAAUUGAAAUUCCAGAUGAAUUUGAUAAAAUUGUUUAGUUUUUUUUUAUAGUUUUUUUUUAUUUUUUAUAAUUUUUUUUAGAUGCAAUUGAUUUCAUUUGUGUUAUUUUGGAGGAUAUGCUGUGUUGAAACCCUAUUUUAUCGGUUGUUUUAAGUAAUUAUUUUCAAUUUCUAUAUGUAUCUUAUUUUCUUAGGGUUCAUAGAUACAAAAACUAAUUAGUUAACAUGUUAAUCAUGAUUUUACCAUGGUUUUGCAGUUUGUGAAACAUGUUGGUUGUAAUAUUUGAAGCAUUGACACCUUUGAAAAAUGUGUGACCGUGACCGAAAUCGAUAGUGACGGUUGUAAUUACGUUUAAUUUAUUGGUAUUUUCAAAUUAUUACCGGUGUCAACGUGUUAGUGUCGGUGUUGUGUUUUCGGUGUCCAUGCCUCAUAGGUCCUAAUAUUGUAUAAUAGGAACAAAAGUUAAGUAGUUAACGUGCUUAAUGCGCCAAUCGUGAUUUUAUUUUUAUGGUUUUGAAAUUGCUAAAACAUGGUUGUUACUUGUUAUGAUACUGUAUAAUGUUUACCUUGCUUAUUUUUUCAUUAUUGCUUAAUGUAGAUAUCCUCGAUGGUUAAAACCUUAAAAUCCAGGAAAUUAUUGGCUUGUUAAGGUUGUUAGUGAAACACUUUUUCCAUAUUUGUUAAAUACUCCUGCAGGUCUAACUUACUAAUAUUCUUUAUAGAAAAAAGUGUGUGUGUACUAUGUAUCUAUGUGCAUAUGUAUAUGUGUAUGAUUAAUGAGAGAAACACACACUAAAUUUUUGGACUCAAAUGUUGUUGCAGAAAAUGGAAUAUUGCAUGCUUCUGAUUUUCUAUUUCUUUUCAUCUCCUGAUAUGAUAGGUUCUAAUUGGUCAAAAACAUGUCUCAUCGCCAAGGAGGUGAUGCUGAAUAUUUUGCGGAUGAAUAUGAAAUGGAUGAUGUAGAAGAGGAUAUCGAUAUAGAUGGUGAAUCUAUUAAUAGAGAGGGAGGUGACGUUGACUCCGACGUUGAUGAAUAUGAUUACUCGGUUCGUAAUAUGCCGUUUCCUAAAUUUUUACAUUUUUUACUGUUAUGGAUAUGUUGUACACGAUGAUGUUUUAUUGUACAAUAACCCAUUUUCCAUUUAUGGGGGCGUCGACUUACUCUCCUAGUUAAAUAAAUAAUUCAUCAAGCAAAUGUAAAUUAUUGUAUCUUUCUACGAGUAACAUUAUUGUUAUGAUGGCAGAGUAGUAAAGCGGUAGACACUACAGCUGCUCAAGCUAGAAGAGGACAAGACAUCCAGGGGAUUCCGUGGGAUAGCCUUAGCAUCACCAGAGAAAGGUAUCGGCAAACGAGGCUUGAGCAAUACAAGAAUUAUGAAAAUAUCCCCCAAUCAGGGGAAAGGUCAGGGAAGGUAACAAUUUGAUGCAUUUUCUCUUUGAUAUUUCAGAGAAAAAACUUCAUAUAUGUCACCGGCCAUAACUAUGGCCAAUAUAAACCAUAGUCACAGAAUUCGCCACAGUACACAGAACUGCGGAUUGGUCCUCGAGUACCUGUUCCCGGUAUUUCUUUUUUGCGAUUUGGUUCACGCAAUUUCAUGAGAAAUUUGCAGGAAUCCGUGUACCAGAGAGGCAAAACCAUCUCUGGUUUAAUUGAGCAUUAUAAUACUAAGUAAAAUAAAAACCGGCUAAAGAAACCGUUGUUUAAAUACUGCACUGGCAAUGGGAAAUACUCAUCGCAUUAAAAAAGGGAGAUAUCACUGGCCUUCACAUGCGCCGCACCUUGCUGUACACUGGAGCGUUGGUCUAUACACUGUUUAUAUUUAGUUUACCUCUAUGUUUUCCAAGCUUCCGAUGUGGGACUAUAGUGCUAUCUCCUAAUGUCGGACUACUCCUAUAGCCCUAUCUCUCUAUGUUUGACAAGCCACAUACUUGGGUGCAUAUCCUCUAUUGGUGACUAUUGGACUAUCCUUUUUAAGGUGACUUUUGUUGGAAUCUGAUUUUUUAAACAAAUGUUAAUUACUCUUCUUGAUAAUAGAUGCUUAGAUCAUAGAUACUCAAAUAAUUAUUUUGACAAUAGGGAAUUAGUUCCUAAAAUGAAAUUGCAUUUUUUUUAAUACUAAAAAAUGCUACCGGUCUAUUAUAUUAUAAAUCACACAACUAUAUAACAUCUUAGUGCUCAGUUUUUUAACAAUAUAAAUUGUUUUUUGACGAUUUUAAUGAUAUUAAUUUAAUUUGAAUUACAAAAGAUGUAAUCUACAUAAAUGGUAAACUAAAAAUAUUUCUAAAACUUCCAUUUUCUUGAAAAUGCGAACUAUCAAUUUUUCAUUACUAUUAAAAUGUAUUUAUGGAUAGUUUGAGAUUCUUUUGUUUUUAUCAUUUUUCGUGUUGUUUUUAAAUUAGAUAUUUUUAAUUCACAGUGUACCGAUUAGUAUAUUAAAACAUAUUACAAACCGAAAUAGUGCACUGACUAUGUAUACCAUGUACCUAAUACUUUGAGGGUUGUGUACCACAUACCCAAAACCGUAACACGUACUGCAGAAAAUUGUGAACCAGGCGACUAUGAUAUAAAUAACACCAUGCUUACCUGUUCAUUAUUGUCUAUUACAAACAGGAUUGUAACAGUACAGACAAAGGAUACUCAUUUUAUGAGUUCAGGAGAAAUUCAAGAUCAGUAAAAUCAACAAUUCUUCAUUUUCAGGUAAGCUGUAGCCUGUAUCUACUCUGGUUUUUAUAAUGGAUUAAGGAUGCUCUAGGACAUUUUACUGCACAAUGGCUCUGUUUAACUGUUUUUUAUAAAUUAAAAGUUAGAUCAGCUUAUUACAAUAUGAAAUAUAUUAAACCAAUGGUCCAAACUUUAAGUCAAGUCUGAAAAGUGUUGGUACUUCAAUGCACCGUGUAUUGAAAUUGAUAGCAAGAGUAAAGGGAGAAGGAAGAGACUCUACAUCACUCUAUACCGAACGGCCACAUGAUAAAAUGCUCAUAAUCAUUGAAUAGGUUCAAAAAAUUAAAAAUAUGCAGGUAUCCAAUACCUGCAAUAUUUAUCUGGUGGCCAGUUUAAAAUACUCAGUUGCUGGUUUGAAUCAGUAUGUGGUAAGCAACUAAAUUUGGUAGAGAGAGCUCUGAGGUUUUCACAGCUGGAACAUGUGAUUUAUUAUAUAUUAUGUCAAAUUUUGUAGUCUGUUCAUAGGAUGCGAAGCUUGAGCAGUACCUUGGAUGCAAUAGGCUUCGAAGAGAUGUGAUCUCAUGUGGUUUGACUGAUAUUCCCUCCUUUUUUUUAUACUUAUGCAGUUGAGGAAUUUGGUUUGGGCUACAUCAAAGCAUGAUGUAUACCUUAUGUCUCAGUUCUCAGUAACACAUUGGUCUUCUUUGACUUGCACAAGGUCUGAAGUACUCAAUGUUUCAGGACAUGUUGCACCAUCAGAGGUGAAUAGUCCUUUAAAUAAUGUUUUUAAUUGGAUAGCCCUCUAAACCAUGUUGCACCGUCAUGUAGCACAAGGUCUAAAGAAUGGUUUGACUUCUGAUUGUUCAUUGCAUUAAUUUUGAGAAAAUAAUUGUCAAUCAUGUUUGUAAUCUUCCAUGUUAUCAUUUUUCCUUGUCAGAAACAUCCUGGAAGUCUAUUGGAAGGAUUCACACACACUCAAGUUAGUACACUUGCAGUAAAAGAUAAUCUUCUAGUUGCUGGAGGAUUUCAGGGUGAACUUAUUUGCAAGGUAAAUGUUAAUUUGCUUGUUAUUGAGGAAUACGAUUUUUUUAAAUCUGUUGCGAAUAGAGCAGUAAGUAUAAUUUGUAAUCCUGGACAUCCACAUUCUGAUCAUUCCGUGAAACGUUUAAACAAAAUUUAAAGAAUGCAAUGCACUGCUUUCGUAAGUUCAUACGCAACAUGCACAAGCAGACAUGUGAUUUAUAUGUGGUGAUGAAUAACUUUUUUAGGUAACAUUGUAAAGACUUAAAUAUAUUUUUUGUCUAUGUAAAAGAGACUGUUUUGGAAAGAUCUGCCCAAUUUUCUCAUUUUGUGGCUUCCUAAAUAUCUCAGUAAUUUAGUGUUUUUCAAAUUUUACAGACCAUGUGGAACCUAAGAACAAUUAAUGAGCAUUGUUUUAAUAAUUGGUGGAGUACUAGAGUGUUGCAACUCCUCUCUCCUUCAUUUUCCAGCCCUUUUUUAAAUUUCUUUUCAAGGAAUACUUGAAUUAUCAUUUUCAUUCAUGUUAAUCCUAAUUGGGCAUUUGCAUAUGCAUUCAGUUUGGUUUGCAUUGCUAUUAGAUUCUGCAUGUUUUUUAGUUAUAUUUGCAGAUGCUGUAGACGUGUCCCUCGGAAUUUGUUUUUGUUAUUAGAACCAUCAGCUGAUAUACUUUCAUCACUUUCUUUGUUACUGAAAUGCAGCACCUAGACCGACCUGGUGUCAGCUUUUGCUCAAGGACUACUUAUGAUGAUAACGCUAUCACCAAUGCCAUUGAGAUUUAUGCUUCUCCUAGGUAUUUAGUUUUCUUUCUAAUUGUUUUGUUAUUUUAAGAAUGGUUAUAGGUACCUGUGUUUUAAUACCAUUGGUUCCUGCUUUUUAGUGGGGCAGUUCAUUUCACAGCAUCAAAUAAUGAUUGUGGAAUCAGAAACUUUGAUAUGGAGAAGUUUCAACUCUCUAAGCAUUUUCGUUUUCCCUGGCCAGUGAAUGUGAGUCUCUUAGAUUAUGUUCUAAUCUUUUAGUUUCCUACCUCUCUUAAGAUGAUAAGUGAAUACUUUAAUUUUGUUCUUCAGAAGUUUUAUUGCCAUUUCUUUUUGCAUUAAUGAGCAAUUUUUGCAUUAUGACACAUUUGCUCUAUGGAUGAGUCGAUUGAUUUCCCACCCUAAUUUGACUUAUAAAGUUUAUUCUCGAAGUUCAACAAUUAGAAGAAAUAAUGAACAAAUUCGAGUGUCAAUAUGGGCCUUCAGCGACUAGCUAGAAUUGUUGAUAUCUUUCUGUUCUUGUGACAUUCCUUUGCUUUCUAUUUAUGUUCUCAUCUUUGUCCGUUUUUUCCCAUGCUGCAGCAUACUUCUCUCAGUCCAGAUGGUAAGCUACUUCUGAUUGUUGGAGACAAUCCUGAAAGCAUGUUGGUGGACUCUCAAAAUGGAAAGGUAGUACACUACGCCCGUUUCGGUCAAACAACCAAACACUUCUUCAGUUAGUUGCAUCCAAAGAGUACUAGUACAUGAUUGCAAAUCUUGCUAAUCCGAAUUUCCUUAUUUUGCAGACUAUUGCUCCAUUAUCUGGGCACUUAGAUUUUUCAUUUGCAUCAUCAUGGAAUCCUGAUGGCGUGACCUUUGCUACUGGAAACCAGGACAAAACCUGUAGGAUUUGGGACAUGCGAAACUUAUCCAAGUCAGUGGCAGUGUUGAAGGGAAAUCUCGGAGCUAUCCGUUCAAUCCGACAUUCUUCUGACGGCAAGUAUAUGGCUAUAGCCGAGCCUGCAGAUUUUGUCCAUGUAUAUGAUGUGAAAAGUGGGUAUGAGAAAGAACAGGAAAUCGAUUUCUUCGGUGAGAUAUCCGGCAUAUCUUUCAGUCCAGACACCGAAUCCCUUUUCAUCGGGGUUUGGGAUCGUACAUAUGGCAGCCUUCUUGAAUAUGGCCGACGUCAUAAUUACUCAUACGCUGACCUAAUGAUUUAGUCGAAUAUAUUCAAGACGAGGGAUAAAGUAACAUAAUAGACAGUGCACUUGAUCGAACAGCUUGCUUUAUGUAUCCUUUUGGGGUAGGUUGUUAAUGUAUAAAUUGAGUGUCCUGCAAGUUACCUCAAAUUUGUAGUUAUAGUAGGGCGUGUUUGUGUUUAUAAUGGUGUGUGUGUGUGGAAAGUGAGGUAGUAGGAGGCUAGAAGAAGAUGAUGGUGCAAACAGAUCUUGCUGAGUAUCAUCAUCAUCACUAUGUAAUGCAGUAGUUUUCUGUCUUGGAAAAACUCACUAUGGCAAUAACAUAUAUAUAUAUAUAUAUAUCUUGAUAUUUCUUGGUCCUAUUUGUCCAUUGAUUGUCUAGUUAGUGUUUGAGUGGAGCAUAGGUAGUAUGCAUCAUUCAAAGGAAAACUAAGUAGUUUGUUGUAUGAAGAUUUUAUGUUACAUUAGCCUUUUGUAUUUUGUUUAUCUUUGUCAAGUUUUUAUGUCCAUGUUGAUGUAUUACAAAACUUGAUGGAAUAUAUAAAUACUAAAAGAAUAGUAUUGAGAAACUAGGACUUACCUGGUUAACUUUUCCAUAAACAACUAUAAGCUUAUUAAACUUAUUUUCUAUCAAAAAGAAAAAUGUAAACUUAUUUCAAUUUUAAAAAUUAUCAUAACUUAAAAACUAAUUUAAAUUUAGUGAGCCAUGUACAAUCAAAUUAAGUUCAAGUUGCUGUAAUUUUAAGAUACUCAAUUUAAUAUUUAAUAAUAAAAAAAUAAAAAGAAGUUUUUUAUAAAUAAAAUAAUGGGUGAGUCCUAGUUUAAGUCACAAGUAUUUUUUACUUGUAAAUAAUAUAAACAGAUUUUUGCAUAAAGACAUUCUGUGUAGAUAUCAACAAUUAAAGACCACAGAGAAAAAUAAAAAAGAAAUCUAGAAUCCAAAACAAACCAAUAAAACCAAGCCAAGUCACUAGCUAAAAUCUUUAGUCCAUGGUCCAAAAUCACAAUCACAAAGCACCUUAUCUUUCUCUACCACCACAUCUUUUCAUACUAUAUCAUAUAAUUCCAUAACCAACCUUCUCUUCCAUUCCAUUCCAUUCACUCAUCAAACCAAAAACAAUGGCAGCAUCAGCAUCAUCCAUGAUCUCAACAAACGCCCUAACAUCCACACUCCAAAAACACCAAACACACAACCUCAAACCAUCAAACCUAUGUUUCCAAGGCUUCAAACCCUUAACAAGAUCAACAAAACUGACACAGAACAAAAAGAGAUUCUCAUCCCUUGUUGUCAAAGCUGAACUCAACCCUUCACUUGUGAUAAGCUUAAGCACUGGUCUGUCAUUGUUUUUAGGAAGGUUUGUGUUCUUCAACUUCCAAAGAGAGAAUGUUGCAAAACAAGGUUUACCUGAACAGAAUGGUGUGACACACUUUGAAGCUGGUGACUCACGUGCUAAGGAAUAUGUUAGCUUGCUUAAGUCAAAUGAUCCUGUCGGGUUUAACCUUGUUGAUGUUUUGGCUUGGGGUUCUAUAGGUCAUAUUGUUGCUUAUUAUAUCUUGGCCACUUCUAGCAAUGGUUAUGAUCCUAGUUUCUUUGGUUAAUUAAGAUUACUAUGUUGUUCGUUUAUGUUGUUUUAAUUUGUCUUUUCUUGUCCCUUUUAUGUUUAUUAAGAUGAUGAUGAUGAUGAUGAUGUAUAGUUUAUUUGUAUGAGAUAUUCAACAAGUUAAGUUC